rnacentral:snRNA from 2 species
GUGCUCACUGUGCCAGCACAUAUACUGAAAUUGGAGUGAUACAGAGAUUAGCAUGGCCCGUGCACAAGGAUGACAUGCAAAUGCAUGAAGUGGUCCAUUUCUUU